UAAUAACUAACGAAACAUGAAGGACCAAAGUUGGAUAAUUGGAAAUAAGGUUUAUUUACUAAAAACAAAAAUAAAAACACACCACACCUAGUGUGUGCGUGUGUGAGGUCGACCAGGAGAAAGCUCAGGGAGCUCAAACCCUAACUUCCACAACUUGAUCAAAUUGAAGCCCAAAUCAAGAGCCAAAUCACUGCAUGAACACAAAUUCGUGAUCACCUAAUCAUGGGGAUUACAAGUUUGACGCGUCACAAGCUAGGUGGAAGCUUGGAGUGAAAGCGGGUCAAACAAGGCAAGCAUGGAAGAAAGGCGUAGCUCGGAUGCAAGGUACUUGUGGAAGCCGGAAGACGAUCAAGCUCAACGAAGAAC